UUAAACGCAACGAUGAGAAGAGUAGGGAAAAACGUUCUUGUACAGAGAGCUCCGGCAGCUGAAAAGGAGCAAAGAGCCCUUACCCGAAACAAGCCUCUGAGCAGCAUGUCGGAACCGUGAGCGGGGAUGGCGUGACGGGAGCUCCCGUUAUAGAGCUAGAGUAUAAACAUUGCCUGCAAUGUCGUACUUGAUGAGGUUAAUAUGGCGACAUAUUAAUGAAGCUGGGGUGGUACCGCGAAAAAUUUCGUCCCCAAG
rnacentral:ncRNA from 1 species